UCCACCUCUUCCCAUUCCGAACAGAGAAGUUAAGCUUCGUCACGCCGAUGGUACUGCUAAUUGUGGGAGAGUAGGUAGUCGCCGUUU
rnacentral:rRNA from 1 species